GAUGAACGCUGGCGGCGUGCCUAAUACAUGCAAGUCGAGCGAACAGACGAGAGUGCUUGCACUCUCUGACGUUAGCGGCGGACGGGUGAGUAACACGUGGGUAACCUACCUAUAAGACUGGGAUAACUUCGGGAAACCGGAGCUAAUACCGGAUAAUAUUUAGCUUCGCAUACAGCAAUAGUGAAAGACGGUUCUGCUGUCACUUAUGGAUGGACCCGCGGUGUAUUAGCUAGUUGGUGAGGUAACGGCUCACCAAGGCAACGAUACAUAGCCGACCUGAGAGGGUGAUCGGCCACACUGGGACUGAGACACGGCCCAGACUCCUACGGGAGGCAGCAGUAGGGAAUCUUCCGCAAUGGACGAAAGUCUGACGGAGCAAUGCCGCGUGAGUGAAGAAGGUGUUCGGAUCGUAAAACUCUGUUGUAAGGGAAGAACAAGUACGUUAGUAACUGAACGUACCUUGACGGUACCUUACCAGAAAGCCACGGCUAACUACGUG
rnacentral:rRNA from 1 species